rnacentral:rRNA from 1 species
ACUGUUCGACGCAGCGAGUCUUAACCUUGACCGAAAGGUUUGGGUAAUCUUCAGCAAAGUCGAACGUGAUGGGGAUCGAUCAUUGCAAUUAUUGAUCGUGAAC